AAGUCUGUGACCAGUAGUUUCAGGGUCAAUAUCAAUAUAACCCGUUUUUGUUACAUCCUGUCAUUUUAGUGUGGGAGAUUUCAUGGCUAAAUUGGAGCAGCCUAGUGGUCAAUCUCCAUUAAUUGCACAUUAUUGCACCAGUAAGAGCAGAGUGUGAAGGUUCAAUUAGCAGGGUAAGAGCACAGUUUUACUCUAAAUAUUGCAAUGCACACAACAUUAUGGGUGACAUACCAGAGUUCAAAAGAGGACAAAUUGUUGGUGCACGUCUUGCUGGUGCAUCUGUGACCAAGACAGCAAGUCUUUGUGAUGCUUCAAGAGCCACGGUAUCCAGGGUAAUGUCAGCAUACCACCAAGAAGGACCAACCACAUCCAACAGGAUUAACUGUGGACGCUGUAAGAGGAAGCUGUCUGAAAGGGAUGUUCGGGUGCUAACCCGGAUUGUAUCCAAAAAACCUAAAACCACGGCUGAUCAAAUCACGGCAGAAUUCAAUGUGCACCUCAACUCUCCUGUUUCCACCAGAACUGUCCAUCACCACAAUCAUUUUUUGUGGUUUAAAUCCAGGUGUUUCAGUUUCAUUGUCCAACCCCUGUAUGUACAACCUAAUUAUUAACCAUUAAUACUCUU